ACACUCCUGCGGGAGGCAGCAAUGGGGAAUUUUGGACAAUGGGCGAAAGCCUGAUCCAGCAAUGCCGCGUGAGUGAAGAAGGCCUUCGGGUUGUAAAGCUCUUUUGUCAGGGAAGAAACGGUGAAAGCUAAUAUCUUUUGCUAAUGACGGUACCUGAAGAAUAAGCACCGGCUAACUACGUGCCAGCAGCCGCGGUAAUACGUAGGGUGCAAGCGUUAAUCGGAAUUACUGGGCGUAAAGCGUGCGCAGGCGGUUUUGUAAGUCUGAUGUGAAAUCCCCGGGCUCAACCUGGGAAUUGCAUUGGAGACUGCAAGGCUAGAAUCUGGCAGAGGGGGGUAGAAUUCCACGUGUAGCAGUGAAAUGCGUAGAUAUGUGGAGGAACACCGAUGGCGAAGGCAGCCCCCUGGGUCAAGAUUGACGCUCAUGCACGAAAGCGUGGGGAGCAAACAGGAUUAGAAACCCCUGUAGUCCCAUG
rnacentral:rRNA from 1 species